rnacentral:rRNA from 1 species
AUGACACACAAGGAGCAAUUUCAGAAGUUGGGAGUUUGUCCCCCGAAAGGAGUUCUUUUAUAUGGACCACCUGGGACGGGAAAGACAUUGACGGCUCGUGCAUGUGCUGCACAAACCAAUGAAACCUUUCUGAAACUUGCUGGUCCGCAGCUAGUCCAGAUGUUCAUCGGUGACGGGGCAAAGCUCGUCCGAGAUGCAUUUGAGCUGGCAAAGGAGAAGGCCCCCUGCAUCAUUUUUAUUGAUGAGAUUGAUGCAAUUGGAACAAAGCGUUUUGACAGUGAAGUUAGUGGUGACAGAGAAGUCCAACGAACCAUGUUGGAGUUGCUGAAUCAGCUAGAUGGAUUUAGCAGUGCUGAGAGGAUAAAGAUGAUAGCUGCAACUAAUCGUGCAGAUAUUCUCGAUCCUGCUUUACUCCGUUCUGGUCGCCUGGACCGCAAGAUUGAGUUCCCUCAUCCGACAGAAGAAGCAAGAGCUAGGAUUUUACUCAAGAAAGAUGAACGUACAUCCUGA